AAACGUAGGAGGCGAGCGUUAUCCGGAUUUACUGGGUGUAAAGCGCGUGCAGGCGGUUCUGCAAGUCGUGCGUGAAAGCGCCCGGCUCAACCGGGCGAGGUCGUGCGAAACUGCAGAGCUAGAGGUAGGUAGAGGCGUGUGGAAUUCCGGGUGUAGUGGUGAAAUGCGUAGAGAUCCGGAGGAACACCAGUGGCGAAGGCGACACGCUGGGCCUGACCUGACGCUCAGACGCGAAAGCAUGGGUAGC
rnacentral:rRNA from 1 species